rnacentral:rRNA from 1 species
CCUACGGGAGGCAGCAGUGAGGAAUAUUGGUCAAUGGGCGGGAGCCUGAACCAGCCAAGUCGCGUGAGAGAAGACGGUCCUAUGGAUUGUAAACCUCUUUAGGCGGGGAGCAAUGCCGGGCACGCGUGCCCGGAGGGAGAGUACCCGCAGAAUCAGCAUCGGCUAACUCCGUGCCAGCAGCCGCGGUAAUACGGAGGAUGCGAGCGUUAUCCGGCUUUAUUGGGUUUAAAGGGUGCGUGGGCGGAUUUUUAAGUCAGCGGUAAAAUGUCCGGGUUAACCCCGGAACGGCCGUUGAGACUGGGGGUCUUGAGUGGGCGGGAGGUAAGCGGAAUGCGUGGUGUAGGGGUGAAAUGCAUAGAUAUCAAGCAGAACCCCGAUUGCGAAGGCAGCAUACCGGCGCCCGACUGACGCUGAGGCACGAAAGCGUGGGGAUCGAACAGGAUUAGAUACCCGUGUAGUC